GUGCCAGCCGCCGCGGUAAUACGGAGGGUGCAAGCGUUGUCCGGAAUCACUGGGCGUAAAGGGUGCGCAGGCGGGGCAGCAAGUCGGAGGUGAAAUCCCACGGCUCAACCGUGGAAGUGCCUUCGAAACUGCUGCUCUUGAGUCCCGGAGAGGCUGCCGGAAUUCGUGGUGUAGCGGUGAAAUGCGUAGAUAUCACGAGGAACACCAGAGGCGAAAGCGGGCAGCUGGACGGGUACUGACGCUCAGGCACGAAAGCGUGGGGAGCAAACAGGAUUAGAAACCCGAGUAGUCC
rnacentral:rRNA from 1 species